AACGAUGAAGCACCAGCUUGCUGGUGUGGAUUAGUGGCGAACGGGUGAGUAACACGUGAGCAACCUGCCCCGGACUUUGGGAUAAGCGCUGGAAACGGCGUCUAAUACCGAAUAUGCACCAUGAAGGCAUCUUCAAUGGUGGGAAAGAUUUAUCGGUCCGGGAGGGGCUCGCGGCCUAUCAGCUUGUUGGUGAGGUAAUGGCUCACCAAGGCGUCGACGGGUAGCCGGCCUGAGAGGGUGACCGGCCACACUGGGACUGAGACACGGCCCAGACUCCUACGGGAGGCAGCAGUGGGGAAUAUUGCACAAUGGGCGCAAGCCUGAUGCAGCAACGCCGCGUGGGGGAUGACGGCCUUCGGGUUGUAAACCCCUUUUAGUAGGGAAGAAGCCUUCGGGUGACGGUACCUGCAGAAAAAGCGCCGGCUAACUACGUGCCAGCAGCCGCGGUAAUACGUAGGGCGCAAGCGUUAUCCGGAAUUAUUGGGCGUAAAGAGCUCGUAGGCGGCUUGUCGCGUCUGCUGUGAAAACUGGAGGCUCAACUUCCAGCGUGCAGUGGGUACGGGCAGGCUAGAGUGCGGUAGGGGAGAUUGGAAUUCCUGGUGUAGCGGUGGAAUGCGCAGAUAUCAGGAGGAACACCGAUGGCGAAGGCAGAUCUCUGGGCCGUAACUGACGCUGAGGAGCGAAAGAGUGGGGAGCGAACAGGCUUAGAUACCCUGGUAGUCCACUCCGUAAACGUUGGGAACUAGUUGUGGGGGCCUUUCCACGGUCUCCGUGACGCAGCUAACGCAUUAAGUUCCCCGCCUGGGGAGUACGGGCCGCAAGGCUAAAACUCAAAGGAAUUGACGGGGACC
rnacentral:rRNA from 1 species